rnacentral:rRNA from 1 species
GAUGAACGCUGGCGGCGUGCCUAAUACAUGCAAGUCGAGCGAACGGACGAGAAGCUUGCUUCUCUGAUGUUAGCGGCGGACGGGUGAGUAACACGUGGAUAACCUACCUAUAAGACUGGGAUAACUUCGGGAAACCGUAGCUAAUACCGGAUAAUAUUUUGAACCGCAUGGUUCAAAAGUGAAAGACGGUCUUGCUGUCACUUAUAGAUGGAUCCGCGCUGCAUUAGCUAGUUGGUAAGGUAACGGCUUACCAAGGCAACGAUGCAUAGCCGACCUGAGAGGGUGAUCGGCCACCUUGGAACUGAGACACGGUCCAGACUCCUACGAGAGGCAGCAGUAGGGAAUCUUCCGCAAUGGGCGAAAGCAUGACGGAGCAACGCCGCGUGAGUGAUGAAGGUCUUCGGAUCGUAAAACUCUGUUAUUAGGGAAGAACAUAUGUGUAAGUAACUGUGCACAUCUUGACGGUACCUAAUCAGAAAGCCACGGCUAACUACGUG